UUUUGUAUUAGUGUCAUUAUACAAUCCAAAGCAAAUUCUUAUAAUAGACAACAUGAAGACCAAACUUCUGAUGACCGUCUUCGGAGCAGCGCAAGCGGCGAUGUAUGCGCGGGUUCCCAACGACAACGCGACGUUCAUCAACGAUUGUUUCUCAGGCUGUAGCGCUCCACGCACUGCUUUCUUCGCUAACCUUGUAUUGUGCUCAUUGUUCUGUCAGAAGAUUGGCUGCGAUCUCUUCAGCUACGAAAAUGGUGAGUGCCGGUCUGCCACGGCCGCCAUGCCUACGAACGUCACCGCCGUUUUCAAGCCGAGGGUCAGCAGGGGCAGCAGGGAGGUGGCGCGGGGCAAACGCGUCUCAGCAACGCCUCAAUAUUCGCUAUUUUAUGCAGAACAAUUGGUUGAUGGAGAUAACAGCACCUUUUAUCAGAACAUAAAUGUACCCAACGCCUGGAUCAUGGUGGACCUGGGAGCUUGUUUUCCAGUCAGCAAAGUUCGUCUGCUGCCCAACGCUUUGACUCACUACUACCGAUUCGUAGAUACUCAGGUUCUGCUCGGUGACGCAGCGCCCCUGACACCUGGAAACUUCAGCAACUUCGUCGUCGUAGGCACCAUCAAGGGGCCUGUGCCGUGGGUGCCGAAUUGGAUCGAGUUCGUCCUACCACAGCCGCGAUGCACCCGCUACGUGACCAUCUACAAAUACGUCUCUAACACAGGCGAAGGGGCUUUUUUGGAAGUCAUCGAGCUGGAAGUUUGGACAAACGAGGAGGCUUGAAAAAAACACUUGACGCUUUGUCAUGGAAAUAUAUAAACUAGUAUUUUGUUAUUAAACGUUGUGUGUGGACUGCAAACUGAGCAGUUUUGAGUCCGUCGGGAAGACUGCACAUUGGAGGCGAUAACUGA
rnacentral:misc_RNA from 1 species